AAUGGGGGGAACCCUGAUCCAGCCAUGCCGCGUGUGUGAAGAAGGCCUUUUGGUUGUAAAGCACUUUAAGCGAGGAGGAGGCUAUUCUAGUUAAUACCUAGGGAUAGUGGACGUUACUCGCAGAAUAAGCACCGGCUAACUCUGUGCCAGCAGCCGCGGUAAUACAGAGGGUGCGAGCGUUAAUCGGAUUUACUGGGCGUAAAGCGUGCGUAGGUGGCCAAUUAAGUCAAAUGUGAAAUCCCCGAGCUUAACUUGGGAAUUGCAUUCGAUACUGGUUGGCUAGAGUAUGGGAGAGGAUGGUAGAAUUCCAGGUGUAGCGGUGAAAUGCGUAGAGAUCUGGAGGAAUACCGAUGGCGAAGGCAGCCAUCUGGCCUAAUACUGACACUGAGGUACGAAAGCAUGGGGAGCAAACAGGAUUAGAUACCCUGGUAGUCCAUGCCGUAAACGAUGUCUACUAGCCGGUUGGGGUCUUUGAGACUUUAGUGGCGCAGCUAACGCGAUAAGUAGACCGCCUGGGGAGUACGGUCGCAAGACUAAAACUCAAAUGAAUUGACGGGGGCCCGCACAAGCGGUGGAGCAUGUGGUUUAAUUCGAUGCAACGCGAAGAACCUUACCUGGUCUUGACAUAGUAAGAACUUUCCAGAGAUGGAUUGGUGCCUUCGGGAGCUUACAUACAGGUGCUGCAUGGCUGUCGUCAGCUCGUGUCGUGAGAUGUUGGGUUAAGUCCCGCAACGAGCGCAACCCUUUUCCUUAUUUGCCAGCGGGUUAAGCCGGGGAACUUUAAGGAUACUGCCAGUGACAAACUGGAGGAAGGCGGGGACGACG
rnacentral:rRNA from 1 species